UGUCUCUCUCUGUGUCCUGCCAGUGGUUUUACCCUAUGGUAGGUUACGUCAUGCUGUUCUACCACAGGGUAGAACCACGGACAGGGUACUGGAGCACC
rnacentral:pre_miRNA from 12 species